rnacentral:rRNA from 1 species
GACGAACGCUGGCGGCGUGCUUAACACAUGCAAGUCGAACGGAAAGGCCCUGCUUUUGUGGGGUGCUCGAGUGGCGAACGGGUGAGUAACACGUGAGUAACCUGCCCUUGACUUUGGGAUAACUUCAGGAAACUGGGGCUCAUACCGGAUAGGAGCUCCUGCUGCAUGGUGGGGGUUGGAAAGUUUCGGCGGUUGGGGAUGGACUCGCGGCCUAUCAGCUUGUUGGUGGGGUAGUGGCUUACCAGGGCUUUGACGGGUAGCCGGCCUGAGAGGGUGACCGGCCACAUUGGGACUGAGAUGCGGCCCAGACUCCUACGGGAGGCAGCAGUGGGGAAUAUUGCACAAUGGGCGGAAGCCUGAUGCAGCAACGCCGCGUGCGGGAUGACGGCCUUCGGGUUGUAAACCGCUUUCGCCUGUGACGAAGCGUGAGUGACGGUAAUGGGUAAAGAAGCACCGGCUAACUACGUG